AACGAACGUUGGCGGCGUGGAUUAGGCAUGCAAGUCGGGGGAAUCCCAGCAAUGGGGGAACCGGCGUAAGGGGCAGUAAGGCAUGGGUACCUACCCCGGGGUUCGGAAUAGCCAUCAGAAAUGGUGGGUAAUACCGGAUGACCUCGUGAGAGCAAAGAUUUAUCGCCCUGGGAGGGGCCCAUGUGAUAUUAGCUAGUUGGUGAGGUAAUGGCUCACCAAGGCGAAGAUGUCUAGCGGGUGUGAGAGCACGACCCGCGCCACUCGCACUGAGACACUGGCGAGACACCUACGGGUGGCUGCAGUCGAGAAUCUUCGGCAAUGGGCGAAAGCCUGACCGAGCGACGCCGCGUGUGCGAUGAAGGCCUUCGGGUUGUAAAGCACUUUAGUGGGGGAGAAAAGCCGAAAGGUUUGAUCUAUCCCAAAAAUAAGCACGGGCUAAGUUCGUGCCAGCCGCCGCAGUAACAC
rnacentral:rRNA from 1 species